rnacentral:rRNA from 1 species
AUUGAACGCUGGCGGCAUGCCUUACACAUGCAAGUCGAACGGUAACGGGUCCUUCGGGAUGCCGACGAGUGGCGAACGGGUGAGUAACAUAUCGGAACGUGCCCAGUAGUGGGGGAUAACUGCUCGAAAGAGCAGCUAAUACCGCAUACGACCUGAGGGUGAAAGGGGGGGAUCGCAAGACCUCUCGCUAUUGGAGCGGCUGAGAUCAGGUUAACUAGUUGGUGGGGUAAAGGCCUACCAAGGCAACGAUCUGUAGUUUGUCUGAGAGGACGACCAGCCACACUGGGACUGAGACGCGGGCCAGACUCCUACGGGAGGCAGCAGUGGGAAAUUUUGGACAAUGGGCGCAAGCCUGAUCCAGCAAUGCCGCGUGCAGGAAGAAGGCCUUCGGGUUGUAAACUGCUUUUGUCAGGGAAGAAAUCUUCUGGGCUGAUACCCCGGGAGGAUGACGGUACCUGAAGAAUAAGCACCGGCUAACUACGUGCCAGCCGCCGCCGUAA